GAUGAACGCUGGCGGCGUGCUUAACACAUGCAAGUCGAACGGAAGGGCCAUGCUCUUGUGGGUUGCUCGUUUGGCGCGCGCGUGUGUAACACGCGAGUAACAUGCACUUGAAUUUGUGAUAACUUCUGGAAAAUGGGGAUAUUACAGGGUAUGAGCUUUUGCUGCACGGUGGGGGUUGGAAAGAUUCGGCUGUUGGGGCUGGACUAGCUGCUUAUGCGCUUGAUGGUCGGGUUGGGACUUACCAAGGCUUUGACGGGUAGUCGGCCUUGGAGGGUUACCGGCCACAAUACGACUGCGAGACGGACCAGACUCCUACGGGACGCAGCAGUGGAGAGUAUUGCACAAUGGGCGGAAGCCUGAUACAGCAACGCCGCGUGCGUGAUGCCGGCCUUCGGGGUGUAAACCGCUUUCGCCUUAAACGUAGCGUUAGUGACGGUAAUUGGUAAGGAAGCACCGGCUAACUACGUG
rnacentral:rRNA from 1 species